rnacentral:tRNA from 1 species
AUUUAUAUAGUUUAAAAAACAUUUCAUUUUCAUUGAAAAGAUAAUAAAUCUUAUUUAUAAAUA